rnacentral:misc_RNA from 1 species
AAGUCGUAACAAGGUUUCCGUAGGUGAACCUGCGGAAGGAUCAUUAAUGAAUGAAUGUAGAGUUGGGUUGUAGCUGACCUCUCCCAGAGGUAUGUGCACGCCCUUCUCUUUCAUCCACACACCCCUGUGCACUUGUGAGACAGAGGCUGUUUUUAUUCCUUUAACCUAGGAAUAAGUCUCUGUCUAUCAUCACAUAAAAUCUAAUCUAAUUAAAUCUGAAUGUAAUUUGAUGUAACGCAUCUAAUACAAAGUUUCAACAACGGAUCUCUUGGCUCUC